GUUUCUGUAGUGCAAUGGAUAGCGCGUUGGACUUCUAAUCCAAAGGUAGUGGGUUCGGAUCCCACCUGGGAUG
rnacentral:tRNA from 1 species